CCUACGGGAGGCAGCAGUGGGGAAUCUUGCCCAAUGGGCGCAAGCCUGAGGCAGCAACGCCGCGUGCGGGAAGACGGCCUUCGGGUUGUAAACCGCUUUCAGCAGGGACGAAGGCGAGCGGGUUAAUAGCCCGUGAGUUGACGGUACCUGCAGAAGAAGUCCCGGCUAACUACGUGCCAGCAGCCGCGGUAAUACGUAGGGGACUAGCGUUGUCCGGAAUCAUUGGGCGUAAAGAGCGUGUAGGCGGCCUUUCAAGUCCUGCGUGAAAUCUUGCGGCUCAACCGCAAGGGGUCGUGGGAAACUGAGAGGCUAGAGUGCGGGAGAGGAGAGUGGAAUUCCUGGUGUAGCGGUGAAAUGCGCAGAUAUCAGGAAGAACACCCGUGGCGAAGGCGGCUCUCUGGAACGCAACUGACGCUGAGACGCGAAAGCGUGGGGAGCAA
rnacentral:rRNA from 1 species